rnacentral:rRNA from 1 species
UACGAAGGGGGCUAGCGUUGCUCGGAAUCACUGGGCGUAAAGGGUGCGUAGGCGGGUCUUUUAAGUCAGGGGUGAAAUCCUGGAGCUCAACUCCAGAACUGCCUUUGAUACUGAAGAUCUUGAGUUCGGGAGAGGUGAGUGGAACUGCGAGUGUAGAGGUGAAAUUCGUAGAUAUUCGCAAGAACACCAGUGGCGAAGGCGGCUCACUGGCCCGAUACUGACGCUGAGGCACGAAAGCGUGGGGGAGCAAACAGGAUU